rnacentral:rRNA from 1 species
UACAGAGGUCUCAAGCGUUGUUCGGAUUCAUUGGGCGUAAAGGGUGCGUAGGUGGCGCCGUAAGUCGGGUGUGAAAAUUUCGGAGCUUACUCCGAAACUGCAUUCGAUACUGCGGUGCUUGAGGACUGGAGAGGAGACUGGAAUUCAUGGUGUAGCAGUGAAAUGCGUAGAGAUCAUGAGGAAGACCAGUGGCGAAGGCGGGUCUCUGGACAGUUCCUGACACUGAGGCACGAAGGCCAGGGGAGCAAACGGG